GCAGCAGGCGCGCAAUUACCCAAUCCUGACUCAGGGAGGUAGUGACAAGAAAUAACAAUAAACCGGCUUAUGCCGGUUUAAUUGGAAUGAGUACAAUUUAAACAUCUUAACGAGGAACAAUUGGAGGGCAAGUCUGGUGCCAGCAGCCGCGGUAAUUCCAGCUCCAAUAGCGUAUACUAAAGUUGUUGCAGUUAAAAAGCUCGUAGUUGGAUUUCUGUGGGGACGGAGCGGCCGGCCGCACAUCGCGGUUCGAGCUAGCGCUUUCCCUACAUCCUGCCGCGAACCGUGCUACCAUUAGUUUGGUGGCGCCGGGGAUCGGCUCGAUUACUUUGAGAAAAAUAGAGUGUUCAAAGCAGGCCACAUGCCUUGAAUAAGUUAGCAUGGAAUAAUAACUAAGGACUUCGGUUCUAUUUUGUUGGUGUUCGGGACUGAAGUAAUGAUUGAUAGGGACAGUUGGGGCGGUCUGUAUUCCAAAGCGAGAGGUGAAAUUCUUAGACCUUCGGAAGACAAACAGCUGCGAAAGCGUUCCGCAAGGAUGUUCCCUUUGAUCAAGAACGAAAGUUGGGGGAUCGAAGACGAUCAGAUACCGUCGUAGUCUCAACUAUAAACUAUACCAGCUAGGGAUCGGCCAACGUUAUUUUAUACCGACUUGGUCGGCACCUUAUGAGAAAUCAAAGCAUCUGGGUUCCGGGGGGAGUAUGGUCGCAAGGCUGAAACUUAAAGGAAUUGACGGAAGGGCACCACCAGCCGUGGAGCCUGUGGCUUAAUUUGACUCAACACGGGAAAACUUACCAGGUCCAGACAUAGUAAGGAUUGACAGAUUGAUAGCUCUUUCUUGAUUCUGUGGGUGGUGGUGCAUGGCCGUUCUUAGUUGGUGGAGUGAUUUGUCUGGUUAAUUCCGUUAACGAACGAGACCCCAGCCUGCUAAAUAGCGCGCGUGAGCUUUGCUCGCGGCGAGCUUCUUAGAGGGACUAUGAUGCGCGAUAGCACAUUGAAGUUUGGGGCAAUAACAGGUCUGUGAUGCCCUUAGAUGUUCUGGGCCGCACACGGGCUACACUGGCGCCUGCAACGAGCAUAUCAGCUGGCCCGAGAGGGUCUUGGCUAAUCUUUUGAACCGGCGCCGUGCUUGGGAUUGACCUUUGCAAUUGUUGGUCAUGCAACGAGGAAUGCCUUGUAAACGCGAGUCAUCAGCUCGCAUUGAAUACGUCCCUGCCCUUUGUACACACCGCCCGUCGCUCCUACCGAUGAAUGUUCCGAUGAAAUUUUCGGAGAGCACCUGUGAACUUGGCUCCGCCUUGCGAACGGGAGGCUCAAAGUCACAUAAAUCGAACCAUUAGG
rnacentral:rRNA from 1 species